UUGCUUCAGCAGCACAUAUACUAAAAUUGCAACCACACAGAGAAGAUUAGCAUGGCCCCUGCGCAAGGAUGACAUACAAAUUCAUGAAGCAUUCCAUGUUUUU